CGGUCAUCGCUACAUUUAUCGCUUGGUGCACUGCUUAUCCUCACAGGGGACUUUACGGCAACAACAAUUACAACAACAACGAUGCAAAUCUCGACUAUGCGUACAGAAACUCGUUGUCUAAUGGCCUGAACAACAACAACAACAACCUGCGUUCAAAUCUGAAUAAUCUGAACAAUCUCUCCAGACGACAAGUUCCAGCAGCAGCCCUUGGCGCAGCUCCAGUCCGACCUCCGACAGCAAAAUAUCUUCCGAUAGUCCAUAGCCGACAGUUUGACGAGAUUGACGCGUCACAUAUCCCCAUCGGAGGGAGGAGGACUCGAGACGGCCCCGUUCCCCGCAAUUUGCUGUAAACUGUCUUAUUAACAAACCGUUAGUCCACAAUUCCUUACAACUGUCUUCGCUCAGAACUCUGUGAUUGCUUAAUAAAACAUUUCAUUUGUUACA